UACAGAGGUCUCAAGCGUUGUUCGGAUUCAUUGGGCGUAAAGGGUGCGUAGGCGGCGCGGUAAGUCGGGUGUGAAAUCUCGGAGCUUAACUCCGAAACUGCAUUCGAUACUGCUUGGCUAGAGUCCGGAAGAGGAGAGUGGAAUUCCUGGUGUAGCGGUGGAAUGCGCAGAUAUCAGGAGGAACAUCCGUGGCGAAGGCGGCUCUCUGGGACGGUACUGACGCUGAGACGCGAAAGCGUGGGGAGCGAACAGG
rnacentral:rRNA from 1 species